rnacentral:rRNA from 1 species
GUAGUCCACGCUGUAAACGAUGGGUACUAGGUUUGAUGGGUCUUGACCCCCGUCGAACCGGCGCUAACGCAAUAAGUACCCCGCCUGGGAAGUACGGUCGCAAGACUAAAACUCAAAGGAAUUGACGGGGGCCCGCACAAGCGGUGGAUCAUGUGGUUUAAUUCGAAGCAACGCGAAGAACCUUACCUGGAUUUGACAUCUCACGACAACCCUAGAGAUAGGGCUUUGGUAGCAAUACCACGUGAAGACAGGUGCUGCAUGGCUGUCGUCAGCUCGUGUGGUGACAUGUUGGGUUAAGUCCCGCAACGAGCGCAACCCUUGUCCUUAGUUGCCAGCAUUCAGUUGGGCUCUCUAAGGAGACUGCCGUGGUUAACACGGA